rnacentral:rRNA from 1 species
CUACGUGCCAGCAGCCGCGGUAAUACGGAGGGUGCGAGCGUUAAUCGGAAUAACUGGGCGUAAAGGGCACGCAGGCGGUUAUUUAAGUGAGGUGUGAAAGCCCCGGGCUUAACCUGGGAAUUGCAUUUCAGACUGGGUAACUAGAGUACUUUAGGGAGGGGUAGAAUUCCACGUGUAGCGGUGAAAUGCGUAGAGAUGUGGAGGAAUACCGAAGGCGAAGGCAGCCCCUUGGGAAUGUACUGACGCUCAUGUGCGAAAGCGUGGGGAGCAAACAGGAUUAGAUACCCUGGUAGUCCACGCUGUAAACGAUGUCGAUUUGGGGGUUGAGCUUUAAGCUUGGCGCCCGUAGCUAACGUGAUAAAUCGACCGCCUGGGGAGUACGGCCGCAAGGUUAAAACUCAAAUGAAUUGACGGGGGCCCGCACAAGCGGUGGAGCAUGUGGUUUAAUUCGAUGCAACGCGAAGAACCUUACCUACUCUUGACAUCCAGAGAACAUUC